AUUGAACGCUGGCGGCAGGCCUAACACAUGCAAGUCGAGCGGAUGAAGGGAGCUUGCUCCUGGAUUCAGCGGCGGACGGGUGAGUAAUGCCUAGGAAUCUGCCUGGUAGUGGGGGAUAACGUCCGGAAACGGGCGCUAAUACCGCAUACGUCCUGAGGGAGAAAGUGGGGGAUCUUCGGACCUCACGCUAUCAGAUGAGUCUAGGUCGGAUUAGCUAGUUGGUGGGGUAAAGGCCUACCAAGGCGACGAUCCGUAACUGGUCUGAGAGGAUGAUCAGUCACACUGGAACUGAGACACGGUCCAGACUCCUACGGGAGGCAGCAGUGGGGAAUAUUGGACAAUGGGCGAAAGCCUGAUCCAGCCAUGCCGCGUGUGUGAAGAAGGUCUUCGGGUUGUAAAGCACUUUUAUUUGGGAGGAAAAGCAGUAAGUUAAUACCUCGCUGUUUUGACGUUACCAACAGAAUAAGCACCGGCUAACUUCGUG
rnacentral:rRNA from 1 species